AGCUCCGAGGUGUAAGCAUAGUAGAUUGCAAGUCUAAAGUAGUAGGCUAAAACCCCUACCGGAUCUU
rnacentral:tRNA from 1 species